AACGCGAAGAACCUUACCAAGGCUUGACAUAUACCGGAAACGGCCAGAGAUGGUCGCCCCCUUGUGGUCGGUAUACAGGUGGUGCAUGGUUGUCGUCAGCUCGUGUCGUGAGAUGUUGGGUUAAGUCCCGCAACGAGCGCAACCCUCGUUCUGUGUUGCCAGCGGGUUAUGCCGGGGACUCACAGGAGACUGCCGGGGUCAACUCGGAGGAAGGUGGGGACGACGUCAAAUCAUCAUGCCCCUUAUGUCUUGGGCUGCAAACAUGCUACAAUGGCCGGUACAGAGGGCUGCGAGACCGUAAGGUGGAGCGAAUCUCAAAAAGCCGGUCUCAGUUCGGAUUGGGGUCUGCAACUCGACCCCAUGAAGUCGGAGUCGCUAGUAAUCGCGAAUCAGCAACGUCGCGGUGAAUACGUUCCCGGGCCUUGUACACACCGCUGUA
rnacentral:rRNA from 1 species